AAGACUCUCGGCAACGGAUAUCUCGGCUCUUGCAUCGAUGAAGAACGUAGCAAAAUGCGAUACUUGGUGUGAAUUGCAGAAUCCCGUGAACCAUCGAGUCUUUGAACGCAAGUUGCGCCCGAAGCCAUUAGGCCGAGGGCACGCCUGCCUGGGUGUUGCACAU
rnacentral:rRNA from 1 species